UGGGGAAUAUUGCACAAUGGGCGCAAGCCUGAUGCAGCGACGCCGCGUGAGGGAUGGAGGCCUUCGGGUUGUAAACCUCUUUCGCCAGUGAAGCAGGCCAUCUUCUUUGUGGGGUGGUUGACGGUAGCUGGAUAAGAAGCGCCGGCUAACUACGUGCCAGCAGCCGCGGUAAUACGUAGGGCGCGAGCGUUGUCCGGAAUUAUUGGGCGUAAAGAGCUCGUAGGCGGCUGGUCGCGUCUGUCGUGAAAUCCCCUGGCUUAACUGGGGGCUUGCGGUGGGUACGGGCCGGCUUGAGUGCGGUAGGGGAGACUGGAAUUCCUGGUGUAGCGGUGGAAUGCGCAGAUAUCAGGAGGAACACCGGUGGCGAAGGCGGGUCUCUGGGCCGUUACUGACGCUGAGGAGCGAAAGCGUGGGGAGCGAACAGG
rnacentral:rRNA from 3 species